ensembl:misc_RNA 7SK 7SK RNA
GGAUGGGAGAGCUAACUGAUAGCAAUAUCUGUCACCCGCAUUUGUCCCCCGGGGUUGGUUCUGCUGAUCUGGCUGGCUAAGACGGUGUCCUCUUCCUCCAUCUCCAUUUCAGAAGUCAUGCACUCGACUGAAGAGGACAGCUUCCACAAUCUGUCUUACCAAGGGUAAGUGAGGCUCUCCUGACAGAAUCUUCAGACAAGCUCCAAGACUCUAGAGGUUUGAGUCUCCGUGACCCGUGCCAUAUGCUUGGUGCUA